AUUGAACGCUGGCGGCAGGCCUAACACAUGCAAGUCGAACGAGUGGCGGACGGGUGAGAAAUGUCUGAGAAACCGCCUGAUGGAGGGGGAUAACUACUGGAAACGGUAGCUAAUACCGCAUACCAUCGGAUGUGCCCAGAGGGGAUUAGCUAGUAGGGGGGGUAACGGGUCACCAAGGCGACGAUCCCUAGCUGGUCUGAGAGGAUGACCAGCCACACUGGAACUGAGACACGGUCCAGACUCCGACGGGAGGCAGCAGUGGUGAAUAUUGCACAAUGGGCGCAAGCCUGAUGCAGCCAUGCCGCGUGUAUGAAGAAGGCCUUCGGGUUGUAAAGUACUUUCAGCGGGGAGGCGUUACCCGCAGAAGAAGCACCGGCUAACUCCGUGCCAGCAGCCGCGGUAAUAC
rnacentral:rRNA from 1 species